AAAUAGAAAAGCCAAUUCUGCACAGAUGCAGAAACGGAAAGCCAUAGGGUCUAUGAUUUAGAUAGCCGGGUUGCCUCG
rnacentral:ncRNA from 1 species